rnacentral:rRNA from 1 species
CACGUAGGGGCCAAGCGUUGUCCGGAAUUAUUGGGCGUAAAGAGCUCGUAGGCGGUUCGUCGCGUCGGCUGUGAAAUCCCGAGGCUCAACCUCGGGUCUGCAGUCGAUACGGGCGGACUGGAGUACUGCAGGGGAGACUGGAAUUCCUGGUGUAGCGGUGAAAUGCGUAGAUAUCAGUCGGAACACCGGUGGCGAAGGCGGCUUCUUGGGCCGUUCCUGACGCUGAGGCGCGAAAGCUGGGGGAGCGAACGGG